rnacentral:rRNA from 1 species
UACGUAGGGGGCAAGCGUUGUCCGGAUUUAUUGGGCGUAAAGAGCGUGUAGGCGGCCUUACAGGUCAGCUGUGAAAACUCGAGGCUCAACCUCGAGACGUCGGUUGAAACCGUAAGGCUAGAGUCCGGAAGAGGAGAGUGGAAUUCCCGGUGUAGCGGUGAAAUGCGCAGAUAUCGGGAAGAACACCCGUGGCGAAGGCAGCUCGCUGGGACGGUACUGACGCUAAGGCGCGAAAGCGUGGGGAGCGAACAGG